rnacentral:snRNA from 1 species
CUGCUCACUUCAGCAGCACAUAUGCUAAAAUUGGAACAAUACAGAGAUGAUUAGCAUGGCCCCCACACAAGGAUGACACACAAAUUCGUGAAGCAUUCCAUAUUUUU